AUGUCUGGAAGGCUGUGGUCCAAGGGCAUUUUUGCUGGCUAUAAGUGGGGUCUCCGGAAAAAAAGGGAGCACAUAGCUUUUCUUAAAAUUGAAGGUGUUUAUGCCCCAGAUGAAACAAAAUUCUAUUUGGGCAAGAGAUGUGCUUAUGUAUACAAAGCAAAGGACAACACAGUGACUCCUGGUGGCAAACCAAACAAAACCAGAGUCAUCUGGGGAAAGGUAACUCAAGCCCAUGGAAACAGUGGUGUGGUUCAUGCCAAAUUCCAAAGCAAUCUUCCUGCUAAUGCUAUUGGACACAGAAUCUGAGUGACGCUGUACACCACAAGGG
rnacentral:lncRNA from 1 species